rnacentral:rRNA from 1 species
UGCGGCCCAUCAGCUAGUUGGUAGGGUAACGGCCUACCAAGGCGAAGACGGGUAGGGGGCGUGAGAGCGUGACCCCCCACACUGGCACUGGGACACGGGCCAGACUCCUACGGGAGGCAGCAGUGAGGAAUAUUGCGCAAUGAGCGAAAGCUAGACGCAGCAACGCCGCGUGGGUGAUGAAGGCCUUCGGGUCGUAAAACCCUUUUCUGGGGGAAGAGUAAGGACGGUACCCCAGGAAUAAGCCUCGGCUAACUAUGUGCCAGCAGCCGCGGUAAUACAUAGGAGGCAAGCGUUAUCCGGAUUUACUGGGCGUAAAGAGCGUUGAGGCGGCUUCGUAAGUUGGACGUGAAAGCUCCCGGCUUAACUGGGAGAGGCCGUUCAAUACUGCGGGGCUUGAGGGCAGCAGGGGGGGGUGGAAUUUCCGGUGUAGUGGUGAAAUGCGUAGAUAUCGGAAGGAACACCAGUGGCGAAGGCGGCCCCCUGGGCUGCUCCUGACGCUGAAGGCGAAAGCUAGGGGAGCGAACGGGAUUAGAAACCCCGGUAGUCCUAGCCGUAAACGAUGGAUACUAGGUGUAGGAGGUUAAAAUUCCUUCUGUGCCGGAGCUAACGCGUUAAGUAUCCCGCCUGGGGAGUACGGUCGCAAGGCUAAAACUCAAAGGAAUUGACGGGGGCCCGCACAAGCAGCGGAGCGUGUGGUUUAAUUCGAUGCAACACGAAGAACCUUACCAGGGCUUGACAUGUAGGUAGUAGUGAAGCGAAAGCGGAACGAUCCUUCGGGAAGCCUACACAGGUGCUGCAUGGCUGUCGUCAGCUCGUGCCGUGAGGUGUUAGGUUAAGUCCUGUAACGAGCGCAACCCCUGCCGUUAGUUACAAGUGUCUAACGGGACUGCCCGGCAAAACUGGGAGGAAGGUGGGGAUGACGUCAAGUCAGCAUGGCCUUUAUGUCCUGGGCUACACACACGCUACAAUGGCCGGUACAAUGGGUUGCCAAGCCGCGAGGCGGAGCCAAUCCUCUAAAGCCGGUCUCAGUUCGGAUUGUAGGCUGCAACCCGCCUGCAUGAAGUUGGAGUUGCUAGUAACCGCAGGUCAGCUAUACUGCGGUGAUACGUUCCCGGGCACUUGUACACACCGCCCGUCACGUCAUGGAAGCUGGUAAC